GUUCCGGUGGCCUAGUGAUUAAAGCGUCCGCCUCAGAUGCGCGAGGCUGCGGGUUCAAACCCAGGCCGAGUCA